CACCAAUUGACACUUUUUCAUCAAACUUUUGAAAAGAUUCAAUCUUUCUCACAAAUGUAAAUUGGGUCUUCAAUCAUCCAACAAAAUGAUUGGAAAAAAAAUAGAAUGUAAAGAAAUUCAAAUAAAAUGUCAUAAUUUCUACUCAAUAUUUAAUGUGCAUCUUCAAGAACUGUUCACUGCCAUGCUUAAGUUGCUAACUUCAAUCUUUAAAACAAACACACACACACACAUUAUAUUUUAGAAUUCCCACUUCCAAGAGUGAGUUCAAGAUCAUCCACUCCAACAUCAUGAAUCCUCUCGCCUUCCCAUGCCUUCACUCCUCCAUUCUCAAACUCGAAUUCCAUCCCUUUACCUUUCUCCGAGCUCGCAUCCAUGGCAAUACUGGCUCUAGCCACUAGUUUCACCAAGUUAUAAGUCGGGGAGUUGGUUUACUGUGAUAACGAUGAGGUGUUGAAAAUCUUUGAUUACCUUGGUUUCAUGAAAAUGAUAUGAUUUACUAUUUUAGUAAUUUAAAAAUGAAAAUUUUCUGUUAUUGUUUUUGGGACGUUACAAUCCUCUUCCCCUUGAGGUAAUGAUUUCUUGUUUUUAAGAAGCUUUGAGCUUCAAUGGUGAAAUUGUUAGUUUGGUUGGAUUGUUUGAGUUAUUAGGAUUAUAACUCAAUUUGUAUGUUAUUGAGAGUGUUUGGAAGAUUUGAACAAGCUUUGUAUGUGAUUUCCAUGGUGAAAUCCAUAUAUGGAAAGUUAGGGUUUGAAACCCUAACUAGUGAGGAUGCUUAGUUCAUUGGAUAAAACAGAUUUGGAGGUUGAAGAUGAAAUGUUAGAAUUAUGAUCAAUUGAGUGAUCAUUUUGAUAUAUAGAGUGGUUAAGAUCAUAAUAGGCUAAGACAAUUUCUAAGGAGCUUGACAUGUUGUAUGAAUAGGCCUUGAGUAAAGAAGAUGGAUAAAGAUGCAUCAACUGAAUAUUAGAAGCCAAGGGUAGUUAUAUGUGUUAUUUAUUAUUCUUUUUAUUUAAUUUAUUUGUGUGUUUAUGAUGUAGCACCUGAUUCCUGGUAUGUAUUUUAUUUAAGUAAUUUUGCAUUUUUGGCCUGGCACUCGGUGAGGUUAAGGCCCAACUCGCCGAGUAGAAGCGGGAUGAGACGCGAGAUUUAAGUGAUGGACUCGUCGAGUCGGGUCCCGGACUCGAGGAGUAGGCUCUGACUGGACAAAACCCUAAUCAGAGGGUUUGCACCCUAUUUAAACAACCUUAUAUAGCCUCCAUCGCCCCUUUAUGCUCCCAGAAACCCUCCAUAGCAAACCCUAAGUGUUUUGGUGCAAGAUCUAAGGCUUUUGAGUGAUUUUUGUGGGUUUUGACCUCAAGGAAGAAGGAAGAACAUAGAAGGAUCAAGAGGAUACUGAGGGAUUUGAGUUUGGUUCAUCAUUUGCAGUCUUUGAAAGGUAUAAAGUUUGUACCUUGCUUGCUUGUUUGUUAGAUCCCUUUUUGGGAAGGAUUUACGGCUUUUUAAGCCAUAUGAGGUAGCUAACCAUGUUUGCAAACAUGGUUGGGGGUCAAGACUUUAGAUCUAGCACUUGGGGAGAGUCACAAGGCAGAUUUGGGUUGCUUUUGCACCCAAGGAAGGCCCCAUGCAACAAAAGAUCCAUUUUAGAGCCUUUUUGGCUCAAAAAUCCCAUGUAUGCACGUAAAGUUCGUAACUUUACGUGCUAGAUCGAGCUUAGGGGCUUGGAUCUAUCAUUUGGACAAGUUUUGUACAUUAGAAAUUGAGGAUUUAGGGUGUGGAUGAUAUCGACUCGGCGACUCCGUUCUUGGGACUCGAUGAGUCCAAUGAUUUGAGUCCCAUAUAUGUUGAGGGUCAAAGGACUCAGUUGGGUGUUAGAAGGGUUGUAGCAGGACAGAAAGAGUGACCCAAUGCAUUGGACUUAGUUUUAGACCUAGAGUUCAUGGGACUCGACGAGUGCUAGAACAGACUCGGUGAGUCCAAGGCAAUCUUCUUAUGUUUGAAGAUGAACUCGACGAGUUGUUCAUACAACUCGGCGAGUCAAGGUCAGGACGUGUUCAUCAGAUGAAGGUGAACUCGAUGAGUGUUUAUACGACUCGGCGAGUCGGAUGAAGGUUCAUUGAUGUUCGUAGAGGAGGGAAACUCGUCGAGUCAUUUCCAAACUUGACGAGUCGAGUCGUGGAUAAGGACGAGUAAAGGAAAGGGACUCGACGAGUUUACGGCCCAACUCGGAGAGUCGGGUCAACUGGAAGUUGACUUUGACUUGGACUUGGUUGGGGGUAAAAUAGUUAUUUUACCCUAAGAGUAGAUAUCAGUUUCUGACUGGGUGUUCAGUAGGGAUUGUAGCUGGAGGAUUUCCGGAGCAGCAGCAGACAGAGGUUUCCCAUACUGAUUAUCAGCAGCUACUCGUACGACGUGAGUUAACUUCCAGUAGGAGUGGGUCUAAGGCCACAAUGCCGGCCCACCAAAGAGGAGUAUUUAGAAGAUGAUACCGAUUAAAAGAUACCGACGACGGUUACCGGUUGAAAGAUACCGAUGGAAGUUACUAGUUGAAAGAUACCGAUGAUAUUGUAUGGUACGUGGUAUGAUGGGGGAACUCACUAUGCUUUGUGCUUACGGUUUCGGUUUUGGUUUCAGGUACCUCUUUUUCUAAGGGGAAGGAGUCGGCGGCGUAGCAUCGCAUCACACACACACAUGAUUCCGCAUCAGACUUUCUAGGAUUGUACUCUGAUUUUCCUUAUUUUUGAUGUCAUGGUUUGGGACACAACAUUAUGAUUUUUUAAUGUAUUGUUUUAUUGAUAAUGUCAUGGUAAAAUGUUUUAGAAAUUAUUAAUUUAAAAAUGAGAUUUUCGGGCUUGAAUUUUGGGAUGUUACAAGUUGGUAUCAGAGCUCUGGUUUGAGGGAUUCGGACACACCUUCGGGGGUGUUUGGACUCAAACCGAGGGACUAAAAGAUUUUUACAAGGUGUAACACCCAAAAAAUUCGAACAAAUUUAAACUUUCAAAACAUGUUAAGAUCAUCAAAACAUUACAACUUUGUUUUCAAAAUACAUUUUUAUUAGAGUAUUCCCAGAAACAUAAACAUAGCCGGAGCAGCGGUACGAUCAUGCCUUCGCCUUUCCGCGAUCACCUGAGGUACCUGAAACAAUAAACUGAAACUGUAAACCCGAGAGCUUAGUGAAUUACCCCCAAAAUACCAACGCCAUACGGAUAUAACCGUAUUAUAUCAUAUAAACACAGUAGCAAACAAUACAGCAUACGCAAUGAGCCAUCAGUCUGACUGGACCGAAUCUCGGUCCUUAGUCUAUCUGGACUGCUCUCCGAGCCCUCGGCAUGUCUGCACCAUCCUCCUCGGGGCCUUCAGCCUAUCCGGACCGCUCACUAGGCCUUCGGCCUGACUAGAUUUGCCUGGCCCGGGCCUGCAGUCUACCUGUUCCGCCCAGGGUGUCUUGGCCUACUGCACACAGCAGGACCUGCCUCAACCCUUUACCCAAACCAACAAACAUGUGCACAUAACAUAUAAUCAUCUACAAUCCUCAACCAGACAAAAUGUCACACCCCAAAACCGGAACGGCGGAAACGUUCUGGUGUGGAUGACGUCAUGUCAAGUAUCACAACACAUGCAUUAUAGUAAUCAAAGUACAACAAAACAUUGCAUUAAUAGUAAUAGUUUUACAUGGUUUACUUUACAAUACAACAAGGUAAUACAACUAAUAGAAUAAAUACAGCGUGGUACUAAGCUAUCUUCAUCAACAGCUCAUGGGAUGUACCUGUCUAAUGCUAACCUGAGAAUACAAGUUAUUUGAAAAGCGAGUAUCAGCAUCUUUACAAAUGCUGGUGAGUUCAUAAGCAUUUAGUGACUUUUUAUUCAAAUAACUUUAUAAUGUAGUAGUUUAAGAAUUUACAGUGUAUUAGAGUUCUUUCCAAAAAAUCCUAUAUUUUCUUUAAAUAAAGCAGUCUUCUACCAAGACUAGACGGAGUUAGUGUGGUACAAAGUAGUUUUCCCUUAAUCGCUAUCAUUAUCAAAAUACUGAAUUUGAUUAUUAAAGAAAGCAAGAGAAGUCAGCGAAAUAACAUAUGCCUCAGCAGUGAGGACUGCUGACUAAGGCAAAAGAAUCAUAGACUCCAGGAGAGUAUCAAACGAACGACACACCUGGUUCCAUCUAACAAAUGGAAACACAGACCCCAGAAGGUACCAAAUGAAAGGUACAGCUGGUAAGGUCUAAAACAGUGAACACAUACCGCAUACAGUAUCAAAUGAAAGAUACAUCUUGCAAGGUCAAAACAGAGAAAACAGACCGCAGACAGUAUCAAAUGAAAGAUACAUCUUGCAAGGUCAAAAUAGAAAAUACAGACCAUAGACAGUAUCAAAUGAAAGAUACAUCUCGCAAGGUCAAAACAGAGAAUACAGACCGCAGACAGUAUCAAAUGAAAGAUACAUCUCGCAAGGUCAAAACAGUGUGACUCUGAAAUUGAGUUACCAGCAUCCAGUGUAAAUUACCAGUGAAAUAUCGUUACCUUAAGGCCAUGAAUUAUAAGGCAACCUGGGAUACUCGUAACCAUACUAACCGACACUAGAGUACCAGAUGCCCUACAAGCGUCUAUAAAUUAUGACAUUUGUCACCCCUUGGCUUGCUAGGUCAUGGAAUGUAGCUAGCAGUCAGGGUGCGGGGGUGUCAAUCCCGUAUAGAUCUAUACACACAAUGUCCGCUCUCCCUACAGGAGACUCUGGUUACCAACUAGACGACGGAGAAGGCCGUGUCCUGAAGAUGCAUCCCAAAUAGUGGGUAGAGACUUCCAAAUAGUGGGUUUCUAAUGUAAGUGUUGAACUAGAGGUAGAGACUCAUAAUUGAAUUGACUAAAGUAAACCCAUAUGUCUAUGCUUGUGUACAUAAUAUAUAACUAAUGAAUCAAACGACCUUCGGAUGGACAUCCGAUCCCACCAGAGCACAUCUCAACGAAGAAAAGGAAAUAGGGCGGACAAGCCUUCCUAAGUCCUUCAAUCAUUACUUAUAUGCAUCUAGACAAGCACAGACAUACAUCUAACUACGCUUGAGUAUGUAACAAGUGGAUUCAUAUCAUGAAGUAUAAGUGUACAGUGUGGAAUAAGCGAAUCGUGAAGUAUAAACGUGCCAAAAGUAAGUGUAUCACGAAGUAGAAGCGACCUUAAGUGAAGUAGGAGCGUAUCGAGUAUAAGUGAAGUAGAAGCGAUGCCAAGUAUAAGUGAAGUAGAAGCGAUAUCAAGUAUAAAUGAAGUAGAAACGUAUCACUAAGUAAGAGUGUGAACAAGUAUAAGCGUCCAGCAGGUAUAAGUGUAUCACGAAGUGGAAGCGACGACUGGUGAAGUAAAAGCGUCUAACAAGUAUAAGCGAAAUAGAGGCAAUAACAGGUAUAAGUGUAUCAAGAAGUGAAAGCUUUAUCGAGUAGGAGCUUACACUAAGUGAAAGCGAAGCAGCGGUAACUAACAAGUACAGGUAUACGUCGUGAGAAGGGAACUUUGAUGAAAACCUUGGAAAAACCUUUAUACUCAGGGAAAAUCACAUUUGGUAUUCUUUGAUAAAAUAAGUGUGAAAACCUUUAGAAAUCUUUGGAACCUUUAUAAACCAGUUUGAAAUGAUUUUAGAUACAACAGUAUAAGUAAGAGUUUUGAAACAAAUGAAAACCUUUUUGAAUCCAUCAUAGUGUCCUACUCGGUAAAACAGUGUACAGUGUGGUAAAAUCUUGUGCAUGCGGGUUAUCAAUCACAUAUGAUUGACAUGAUAACUGGCAUGUUUAACUUGUAUCCCCCCUAUAAAACAUAUAAAAACAUUUAAAAGGUUCAUUCAGGGGUAUGAACUCACCUGGUGUAAGUAGAUCUGACGAAGGCGCCGGUUGGGUGCUCGGUUUCAAGUAAGGACUUGGACACACUUAGUGACCUAUUAAACAUAUGAUAACAUAUGUUUACAUACAAUUAGUACAUAUAAUUCUAAUUAAACAAGUAUAAGCACCCUAAAGAGCGGAAAACACCUUGGUUAAGUGUUUAGGGUGUCCCGGGUAGCAACUAAGGGCUCAAAUGGCUUAGGAAUGGAGUUUACUCUCCAAGAGUAAACUCUAUACUUAGAGUUUACGGCCCUGGGACAACUCCCAUGAGUUUAUAGCCGUAAACUCAUGGUGAGUGGUUUCUAGGAUGUUUUAAGGCCUUAACUUGCUUGUGGAAUUAUUCUAGGUCCAAAUCAAAAAGGCAUGAAUGAGUUUAAGGUCUUUAGGGGCUCCAUUAUGGAGUGUACGGCCCAUGAACCAUCCCUAAGGGAGUUCACGGUCGUGAACUCUUAUUCUUUGAGUUUAAUGAAGUUUCAAGCCCCUAAUACCCUCCUAGUAAUUUAUAAUGAUAGUCUAAGACCAUUUCGGGGAUAAAAACCAACAUCUUGGCUUGGUUUGGGGUGUUUAUGGCCUUGACACAUGUCUUGGCCGUAAACUCCUUUUCAUCCUUCCUUUCCUUGUGCUUAAAUGAUCUAAACCCUAAAUGGCAUGUCCUUAAUUUAUGUAUUAAGUCCUAGGGUGUUUUAGGAGUGUUUUUGGGGCACUUUUGCAAGUUUAAGAGGGGUUUACGGCCUAAGCAUGUGCUUGGGCCGUAAACUCUCUUUUAUGCCCUAAAUUGAUUGUUUUAGAUGAGCAAACACUCCUAGGGUAAUUCCUCAAUUGGUUCCUAGGCUCUAUGGGACAAAUUCGGGUCUUUUUGGCCAUUUUUGGGGUGUUUACGGCCUAAGGAGGCUCUUAGGCCGUAAACUCCUUUUUCAUGUCUUAAUCAUGUGAUUUUUAGGCUAAAAAGACAAUAAUGUACGCAUAGAACAAGUUAGGGUUGAUGGUCUUACGUUUAGGAGUUGGAAAUCGCGGUUUUGGAGUCGAAAACGAGUCUAGAGAGAGAGUAUAGAGAGAGAGUUUAGGGAGUGUAAAAAGUCUCCAAUGGACUCCACUCACCUUUAUAUAGGGGUUCGAGUUGGGGCUCAGUGGAAUUCUACCCGAUACUGUCGUUAUACGGGGCUUUUGGUCGCACCCGAUUUAGUGGUCGUAAUAAUAAAAACUAACUUUUCCAUUUAAAUGGAAAUGUGUAUUACGAGUUUUUAUUUCUCUUAUCACGAAUUAACAACAUAAAGAUAUAAAUAAAUGAAACAUUUAUUUAUUUGAUUACCUCUUAUUAACAUAACUUUUAUACAUUGGAAUAUUCCGUUAACGGUAACGGGGUAAUGUAACGGAAUAACUUUGGGUUGUCACAUCAUCCCCCCGUUAGAGGGAAUUUCGUCCCGAAAUUCAGGUCUAGGCAAGGAAGUAGGUAUGAAUGAUAGAGGCAGGAGGGUACUUCCUAUUUGGUUUUUCCUCGCAUUCCCAAGUGAACUCUGGUCUAUGUUUGUCAUUCCAACAGACCUUCACCUACGGGAUGCGGAUUCCGUCUCGUGUAGCUUAGAGGGUUCCAACUGGUGUAUCUACGAGGUUAGGGUUCUCAAUGGAUUCUAUCGAGAUGAGUGGGGAACGAAGAGUGACGUCAGGUAAUCGCAUAUCUAGUCUAAGGAGUGGAUCGAUCGGGUAUGAAACUUGUGGAAUAUCCGAAAGUAGUAGUGGUCUGACGAGGGUUGGACCAAAUCUCUGAGGAUUCUCAGAUGGUCCCUAGGCUCUCGGAUGGGUAGAGCUUUUCAGUACUUAGAACAUAGUGUACUUCUAUGGCAAGAUCAUCACUGGCGUGAUCGCCAUUACGAAGUUCCUAACGUUCUCACUCGUACUGGAUGUGUAGUCCUUCAGGUUGUUUCUUAGGAAGCUCGGGUGGUCUUUGGUUUCGCGUUUCCUGUCAACUGGAUUUUAGAGGCUUUCUAGGUCAUCGGAUGGGUUGCGUACUUGCGGUUAUAUGUCUGCUGUAGAGUGUCUAUCUCAAGCUCGUGCAAAAUGAACCUGCACUAACGAUUCUUGAGACACGGAAACCCUCAGGGUCGGGGAGACAGGGUUUCACUAGACGAGUGUUGAACUAUCUCAGGAGGUGGUUCUACUAUUUUUGCGCGAGAUAGUAUUCGUGGAACACCUAGUAGUCCAAUGAAUCUCUAAUUCUUUGGUUUAUUCUAGUGCGGAAAGCGUAUGCUCCUGUAUAACCCCUCGACUAACACCAAGGCUGGUGUCAAGUCUAUAAUCUCUUCGGGAUCUGGGACAUGAGGCUGAAUGCAACUACGCUCGCACUUUGAAUCAAGUAUUCCUAGCUGUGUAGGUUAUCCUGUGGUUCUCGGUAUUCUAGCGUUUACUUCGGAGAAUGAAGUCUAUCGUCUACGGGGCGACGACGAUUUCCUCCAUGCGAGAGGGUGGAGGAUCAUAGGCACUACUAGUCUGUAACAGGGUGGGACGAAGUGCCUGAGUAGUGCGAGCAUCUACUGCAACUACUCUUCCGAAGGUUCUGAGUUUUCUCGGUCUAGGUCAAAUCUAGUGAGUAUAGGUUCCCAUCACUCGGAACUUUAAUCUUUUCAUCCAUUCUUCUUUAGAGUUUACUUUAUUACAGCUCUCGGAUUUUCGGGAUAUUUGCUGCGAUGCUUAAUUCGGGGAAUUAAGCAUGAAUAAAUGGUCGUAGUCAAUGUCCUUGACUCUUACGGCUCAGGUUUCAUUAUCAACCGAGGGUGUUAGCUACUAUGUUGGAUUAACCGGGAUGACAACAAAUUUUUGGAUUCGUGUUCAUUAUAGUAGCUUAAUCCGUAGGGUUCUCUUGACUCUAGCUCCCGUUCCAUGGGAUAGGAUGAAGGGUCUUUCUAGGGAAUCUACUAGGUAUGCUUCGGGUGGUUAUCGUCUUCUGGAAUGCAUGCAGGGCCUUUCGCUUCGGUGUCAAUCUGACUACGAGGGGUCGGUCAACAGUGUACGGUACCCUCUCUUGGGUACUUCGGAAGGUUUGAGAUAAGAGGGACGAUUGACGAAUCGCAUUAGGUUUGAUUAUUUGUGUUAGGUUUAGGUUCGGAAGAACCUUUAUUUGCCGACAUGGCUACGGAGAAAGUCCUUUUUACACAGCACUAAGGAUGUACACAUGGUUGCACUAAGUCGAAACACGAUCAAUAGAGUCGUCGAAGUUGGCAUACUUCGACAUGAUAUAAAGUGAAUAUCGAUAUAGUCAUGCGCCGAACAGGCACACAAGUUCUAGGCGUCUAAGGUUUCGUCCUGUGUAUCACUAUCGCGGAUACUUGGACCGAUAGAGUCGACGCUGAACUAUAGAGAGUCCUAAGUGUUCUGAAUAGGGUACCUUUUUCAUGAAUGGAUUCUCACGAGGCAUUUCUAUAAUCGCCUAACAUAUACUAGUCAUGUAUAGUUAAGGUGGGGAGGACUGUUGACUGAGUGACUCCGCCCUAAAUCCACAACCAAACGAGGAACAGGAAAUGCGGCGACAUUCACUCACUCUAGGUCUAUCCAUCUUAACUAUACAUGGUCAUAACGCAUAUGUUUAGCCAUUAUAGUUUUACCUAAUGAAUUUAAAUUUUAUAACAGUGCUGUGACUUUCGCCUUAAUGGGGAAGUAUUUACAUUUUGAAUUAGUCUUUUAAUGUUCUCGGUUAGUUAUCUGGGAUCGAGAGACGUACCAAAAAUCUACCAGGUUCCUUGAUGCUUCUCCCUAAGCAUUAGAGUUAGACUCCUCCUGUGUCUUUGUCUUUCCCUUCGGUUGGGCAGUCCUUCUUGAAGUGUCCCAUUCCACCACAUAGGUGGCAAAAUGUACAGGUCGCCACAUUGGCGGUUGGUGUAAUGAACUCAACCAGGGUUCUGCAGACGCGACCAGUAUGCCCCAACAUGUGGCACCUAGCACAAUAGAGCUCCCGGCAGACACCAUGAUGAUGGUAGCUGCACUUGCUACAAUAGGAAAGGUUUCCUAAGUAUGGUCUCCUAGGCGUAGAGAUGGGAGGGUUGGCAGGGAUACUGACUGUCUCAGCUCGUUGCCCUUCGGAAGGUCCUUGAGCCUAGGUACUUCCCUCAUCGAUCUUGAUCUUUCUCUUCAGUGGGUUUGAGUGAGGCUCUUGGGUGGAUGGGUAUGAAAGUGUUGGUUGCUACUGUCCAUUGCUAGGAUCGGAAAUCCCGAUAGGUACCUUGCUAACAUUGGCGUUGUUAGCAUUCAGGUGAGCCAUGACAGCUGCUACGGCUGCCGAGACUGCAACUUGGAACGUAGCUUCAUCGAAUAAGAGAGUAGGUUUCUUGCUUGUGGACUGGUUACGCUUCUUCGGUGGCAUGGUUUCUCCUACACGAAAAGGAAUAGAAGGUAAUGAGAGACGAGGGCUAACCCUGGACAUAUCUGUCCCGAAUGCAUUAGGCAUAAAUUUUUCUCGUGCCUCGGGUACUGGUUGUCUGAGUGUCGACCUACAUCCCUAUGAUGUAGUCCUGGGAAUCAAGGUAGGAGUGUGAGUAUCGGAAAAGGCCAUAAAAUGCGAGUCGUUCCUACUAAGUUACCUUUUAUACUGGGAAAGGUUUCACUCUCCGACCUGGAAAGAUUUUGAGAACAGUUCGGAACGAAACUGCGGAAAGAGAGGCUCAUGAGAGCUUAUGGCUAGAUACUUUCAAUAGAGGUGCGGGGAUCCGCUCUAAUCGUGUAACUGGCAACGGGAAGCGACGAUUUACCUAACACAUAGCGUGAGUAGUGUGACCACUAACUCACUAAAUUGUAUUAUUUUACGAGUUUAUUAGUGUGACGAACACGAGGAAAAGAUAAUUCUCGGGUUCCAUGCACUGGCUCCCUCUGUCUGCCUCGUAUCUUUGGUUGGUAUCGGCGUUGGUUUCCUUCGGGUAGUUACCUAGGGUUCUUUUCUCGGGAAGACACAUUGAAUUUCUACCCCGCCUUCCUUCUGAUUCCGACUCCGGGUGUCAUCACUUCAUGAUGGAUGACUGGGAAUCUCGGAAGUAUAAGUGAAUUUCUCACCGAUGUCCCUAAAAAGAUAUAGGCACUUGGUGAAUUCAAUAGUCUCAACCCAGUUCAUCUAUUUCCAGACAGAAAAUCUUCUCAAUAAACCUCUUCUGGGUCUGCAUCAACUCUUCUGUCAAGCACUGAAGUGGAUAGGGUUUUCUAUAGGGUUCGUGCAAGAAUGGAAAUGUCUAAAGAAUACUAAGAGAUUAUUAACAUUUCAUUGGACGAUCCAUAUCGAGUCCUGCUACGAUUACACAGGGUAUACAAAUCAUAUAUAGCUUAGAUCCGAUAGGCCUUCGAAUAUGUGAUACUACUCUAUAUCCACAUCCCAACGAGGAAAAGGAAGUAGAGCGAAACCACACAUUCUUAGCCUAUGGGAUCCUUAUUAUAUAUAACCUUGGGAGUAUACCCUCUGUAGUUGUAGGUAUAUCAAUAAGGAUCUUUUUAGUUCUUCACACAAGGUUGGUUAUGGAUCCUAAAAUACCCCUAUGGUAUUUUAAUUCUUGUUUGAUUCUUAUCUUCUGAUUAUGAUUCUGGGAUUAGUGUGAAUCUUUUAGUGUUCCAAAAUACUCCUAUAGUAUUUUAACUUUAUGUUUGGCUCUAACAUUCCUAGUUGGUAAGUUUCAGACCUGUUGCAACACCACUAUCACUCCCAAGCACACGUUCAUCGCAUCUCGAAUAAAUGUAGUUGAUCAGGUUACAUUUAUUCCAGCUUACGAUUACAUAACUGCCCAGGUUUGACGGUAAUGCUCAACAUCCGAAGACUUUUAUUCUUGUUCUUCUUGUGAUACUUGUGUUCGAGUGUUUAGGUUCUGGAUGUUCUUAUACUUUGGUAAAAUAUGGUUAUAUUUUAAAGUAUAAUUCUUGGUCAGAGUGUUUUAUCCCUUUGUAUUUAUAGGCUGUAUAUCUUUUAUGAAUUGAUAUACUUAGCUCACUAUAAACAAUGCUCUGAUACCAAUCUGUCACACCCCAAAACCGGAACGGCGGAAACGUUCUGGUGUGGAUGACGUCAUGUCAAGUAUCACAACACAUGCAUUAUAGUAAUCAAAGUACAAAAAAACAUUGCAUUAAUAGUAAUAGUUUUACAUGGUUUACUUUACAAUACAACAAGGUAAUACAAGUAAUAGAAUAAAUACAGGGUGGUACUAAGCUAUCUUCAUCAACAGCUCAUGGGAUGUACCUGUCUAAUGCUAACCUGAGAAUACAAGUUAUUUGAAAAACGAGUAUCAGCAUUUUUACAAAUGCUAGUGAGUUCAUAAGCAUUUAGUGACUUUUUAUUCAAAUAACUUUAUCAUGUAGUAGUUUAAGAAUUUACAGUGUAUUAGAGUUAUUUCCAGAAAAUCCUAUAUUUUCUUUAAAUAAAGCAGUCUUCUACCAAGACUGGAUGGAGUUAGUGUGGUAAAAAGUAGUUUUCCCUUAAUCGCUAUCAUUAUCAAAAUACUUAAUUUGAUUAUUAAAGAAAGCAAGAGAAGUCAGGGAAAUAACAUAUGCCUCAGCAGUGAGGACUGCUAACUAAGGCAAAAGAAUCAUAAACUCCAGGAGAGUAUCAAACGAACGACACACCUGGUUCCGUCUAACAAAUGGAGACACAGACCCCAGAAGGUACCAAAUGAAAGGUACAGCUGGUAAGGUCUAAAAUAGUGAAUACAGACCGCAGACAGUAUCAAAUGAAAGAUACAUCUUGCAAGGUCAAAACAGAGAAUACAGACCGCAGACAGUAUCAAAUGAAAGAUACAUCUCGCAAGGUCAAAACAGAGAAUACAGACCGCAGACAUUAUCAAAUGAAAGAUACAUCUCGCAAGGUCAAAACAGAGAAUACAGACCGCAGACAGUAUCAAAUGAAAGAUACAUCUCGCAAGGUCAAAACAGUGUGACUCUGAAAUUGAGUUACUAGCAUACAGUGUAAAUUGUCGAUGAAAUACCGUUACCUUAAGGAGAUGAAUUAUAAGGCAACCUGCGAUACUCGUAAGCAUACUAACCGACACUAGAGUACCAGAUGCCCUACAAGCAUCUAUAAAUUAUGACAUUUGUCACCCCUUGGCUUGCUAGGUCAUGGAAUGUAGCUAGCAGUCAGGGUGCGGGGGUGUCAAUCUCGUAUAGAUCUAUACACACAAUGUCCGCUCUCCCUACAGGAGACUCUGGUUACCAACUAGACGACGGAGAAGGCCGUGUCCUGAAGAUGCAUCCCAAAUAGUGGGUAGAGACUUCCAAAUAGUGGGUUUCUAAUGUAAGUGCUGAACUAGAGGUAGAGACUCAUAAUUGAAUUGACUAAAGUAAACCCAUAUGUCUAUGCUUGUGUACAUAAUAUAUAACUAAUGAAUCAAACGACCUUCGGAUGGACAUCCGAUCCCACCAGACCACAUCUCAACGAAGAAAAGGAAAUAGGGCGGACAAGCCUUCCUAAGUCCUUCAAUCAUUAUUUAUAUGCAUCUAUACAAGCACAGACAUACAUCUAACUACGCUUGAGUGUGUAUCAAGUGGAAUCAUAUCGUGAAGUAUAAGUGUACAGUGUGGANUAAGUGUAUCACGAAGUAGAAGCGACCUUAAGUGAAGUAGGAGCGUAUCGAGUAUAAGUGAAGUAGAAGCGAUGCCAAGUAUAAGUGAAGUAGAAGCGUUAUCAAGUAUAAGUGAAGUAGAAGCGUUAUCAAGUAUAAGUGAAGUAGAAAGGUAUCACUAAGUAAGAGUGUGAACAAGUGUAAGCGUCCAGCAGGUAUAAGUGUAUCACAAAGUGGAAGCGACGACUGGUGAAGUAGAAGCGUCUAACAAGUAUAAGUGACUACAAGUAUAAGCGAAAUAGAGGAAAUAACAGGUAUAAGUGCAUCAAAAAGUGAAAGCGUUAUCGAGUAGGAGCUUACAUUAAGUGAAAGCGAAGCAGCGGUAACUAACAAGUACAGGUAUACAUCGUGAGAAGGGAACUUUGAUGAAAACCUUGGAAAAACCUUUAUACUCAGGGAAAAUCACAUUUGGUAUUCUUUGAUAAAAUAAGUGUGAAAACCUUUUGAAAUCUUUGGAACCUUUAUAAACCAGUUUGAAAUGAUUUUAGAUACAACAGUAUAAGUAAGAGUUUUGAAACAAAUGAAAACCUUUUUGAAUCCAUCAUAGUGUCCUACUCGGUAAAACAGUGUACAGUGUGGUAAAAUCUUGUGCAUGCGGGUUAUCAAUCACAUAUGAUUGACAUGAUAAAUGGCAUGUUUAACUUGUAUCCCCCCUAUAAAACGUAUAAAAACAUUUAAAAGGUUCAUUCAGGGGUAUGAACUCACCUGGUGUAAGUGGAUCCGACGAAGGCGCCGGUUGGGUGCUCGGUGUCAAGUAAGGACUUGGACACACUUAGUGACCUAUUAAACAUAUGAUAACAUAUGUUUACAUACAAUUAGUACAUAUAAUUCUAAUCAAACAAGUAUACGCACCCUAAAGAGCGGAAAACACCUUGGUUAAGUGUUUAGGUUGUCCCGGGUAGCAACUAAGGGCUCAAAUGGCUUAGGAAUGGAGUUUACUCUCCAAGAGUAAACUCUAUACUUAGAGUUUAAGGCCCUAGGACAACUCCCAUGAGUUUACGGCCGUAAACUCAUGGUGAGUGGUUUCUAGGGUGUUUUAAGGCCUUAACUUGCUUGUGGAAUUAUUCUAGGUCCAAAUCUAAAAGGCAUGAAUGAGUUUAAGGUCUUUAGGGGCUCCAUUAUGGAGUUUACGGCCCAUGAACCAUCCCUAAGGGAGUUCACGGCCGUGAACUCUUAUUCUUUGAGUUUAAUGAAGUUUCAAGCCCCUAAUACCCUCCUAGUAAUUUAUAAUGAUAGUCUAAGGCCAUUUGGGGGAUAAAAACCAACAUCUUGGCUUGGUUUGGGGUGUUUACGGCCUUGACACAUAUCUGGGACAUAAACUCCUUUUCAUCCUUCCUUUCCUUGUGUUUAAAUGAUCUAAACCCUAAAUGGCAUGCCCCUAAUUUAUAUAUUAAGUCCUAGGGUGUUUUAGGAGUGUUUUUGGGGCACUUUUGCAAGUUUAAGAGGGGUUUACGGCCUAAGCAUGUGCUUGGGCCGUAAACUCUCUUUUAUGCCCUAAAUUUAUUGUUUUAGAUGAGCAAACACUCCUAGGGUAAUUCCUCAAUUGGUUCCUAGGCUCAAUGGGACAAAUUCGGGUCUUUUUGGCCAUUUUUGGGGUGUUUGCGGCCAAAGGAGGCUCUUAGGCCGUAAACUCCUUUUUCAUGUCUUAAUCAUGUGAUAUUUAGGCUAAAAAGACAAUAAUGUACACAUAGAACAAGUUAGGGUUGAUGGUCUUACGUUUAGGAGUUGGAAAUCGCGGUUUUGGAGUCAAAAACGAGUCUAGAGAGAGAGUUUAGGGAGUGUAAAAAGUCUCCAAUGGACUCCACUCACCUUUAUAUAGGGGUUCGAGUUGGGGCUCAGUGGAAUUCUACCCGAUACUGUCGUUAUAUGGGGCUUUUGGUCGCAUCCGAUUUAGUGGUCGUAAUAAUAAAAACUAACUUUUCCAUUUAAAUGGAAAUGUGUAUUACGAGUUUUUAUUUCUCUUAUCAUGACUUAACGACAUAAAGAUAUAAAUAAAUGAAACAUUUAUUUAUUUGACGACCUCUUAUUAACGGAACUUUUAUACAGUGGAAUAUUCCGUUAACGGUAACAUGGUAAUGUAACAGAAUAACUUUGGGUUGUCACACAAACAGUCUAACAGAUCACAUAGCAUAUUAAUAUCCUAACCAGGAUUCCGAUCUAACCGGUCACUAGCAUAACAUUACCCUAUAUCCCGGGUACCGAACUUAACCGGGUCUCUAAGACAUACCAUCCUAACUACAAGGAUGCAAACAUAACAAAGAAAUCACAUAACAACAACUACCCGAAUUUCCAUCCGAUAAGGGCCAGCCUUGGUGCCGUAGACCCUAUCGUCUGAACUAGAGAACUCAACUCCUGGAUCCAACACGAACUCCAUCACCUAUAGAUAUGUAACCCCUUUUUACAAAUUUCCAAAUUACCAGAAUACCCUUAGAAGUCAACUGGUCAACGCUUGGGUCCAAGUCAAAGUCUAUAGUCAAAGUCGACAGUCCAUGUUGACUUGACUCGUCGAGUGCAGAUCACCAACUCAUCGAGUCCUUCCUGAACUUGAGAAGUCGUGAAAUCCUUAAUUGGCUCGUCGAGUUCCUCUUUAACUCGCCGAGUUCAUACGUGUCCAAGACUUUUAGGAGAAACCCUAGCCGACUCGCCGAGUCCACGAACGACUCGCCGAGUUUAAGGCAAUCAUUAACCAUCUCACCGAGUUGUUCACCCACUCGUCGAGUUCAAGGCCAUCUUCAACGGACUCGCCGAGUUGUUCAUCCAACUUGCCGAGUCCUUGCAGAUCUUUAUCCAUGCAGAUGCUUUUUAAGCCAUGGCAAAGUUCCAUAUUACAGAUCCAAGCUUCUAGGGCAUGUUUAUCACGUAAAGUUGAAAACUUUACGUGUAAGCAAGGCUUUAAGACUCUUAAAUGGAAAAACUAAGCCUGCAAUGAAGUCUCACACUUGAUGGAAGGCUCUUGCUAGGCAAAGCUGAUGAAUUUAUGGAUCUAGAGGUCAAAGGGAGUCCAAAUCUGAAGUUACAACUUCAGAUCUUAUCUUAAACAUAGGGAGCCUUUCAUAAUAUUCAUCCAAAGGAGGUUAAAAGAGGGAUGAGCUAAAGGAACAGCUUAAUACCUUCCAUAGAGUGACAACUAGUGAAUCUCUUAGCUCCCCACGAGUUCCUGGCCUUGAUUUCAUUAUUUCCCUAAGUGUUUCCUUCUCCAAAGUUCUCCCUCUAAGCUUGAACACACCAAAGGAACACACACACACGAUUUAGGGUUUGAGAGAGACAAGGGGCAGUAAGGGGGAGGCUGGGGGAGGCCAAUGAUCCUUUAAAUAGGGUGCCAAACCCUGAGGUUUAGGGUUUCAUCCUCCAGCUCCUACUCGUCGAGUCCCUUAUUGGACUCGGCGAGUAGGUCACUUAAACGUGCAACCCAACCCGCUGCUACUCGACGAGUAGGGCAACCAACUCGUCGAGUAGGCCUUGAAAACAAGAAAAUUCUUAUAUAACAUCGAUACCUGAGAAUCGGGGCGUUACAAUUCUCCCCCACUUGAACUAGACUUAGUCCUCGAAGUCUGCUGCGGUGAACAGUCCCGGAUAAUGCUCCCGCAUCUCUGCCUCUGGCUCCCACGUCCAUUCGGACCCCUUCCGGUGCUCCCACUGUACCUUCACCAAAGGUAUCUCCUUGUUCCUUAGAAUUUUCAUCUUUCUCUCCAGUACGGCCACGGGCCUCUCCACAUAAUUCAGGCGCUCAUCGACCUGAAUAUCACCCAGCGAUACCACUGCCUCCUGAUCCAUGACGGACUUUCUCAGCUGCGAAACGUGGAAAGUGUUGUGUAUCCGACUAAGCUUCUCCGGUAGCUCUAGCCUGUAAGCCACCUUGCCAUCCCUGGCAAUGAUCCUGAACGGCCUAAUAUAUCGGGAACCCAAUUUUCCCCUCUUCCUGAAGUGAAUCACACCUUUCCAAGGCGAGACCUUCAGGAAUACCAUGUCACCCACCUGAAAUUCCAACUCAGAUCAGCGUUUGUCGGCAUAACUCUUUUGCUGACUUUGAGCGGUCUGCAAACGCUGACUAACCUGUUGGAUCUUUUCGGUAGUCUGCAAGAAUACCUCCGUACUACCCAUCACUCUGUGUCCAACUUCACCCCAACAGACCGGGGUGCGACAUCUCUGCCCAUACAACAGCUCAAAUGGCGGGGCGCCAAGGCUAGAAUGAUAGCUUUUGUUGUAGGCGAACUCCGCAAGCGGUAGGUGAGAAUCCCAACUCCCCCCAAAAUCAAUGACACAUGCCCUCAACAUGUCCUCGAGCAUCUGAAUAGUCCGCUCGCUUUGGCCGUCUGUCUACGGGUGGAAUGCUGUUCUAAAGUGCAACCGCGUGCCUAACUCCUCGUGAAACUUUGGCCCGAAGCGGGAGGUAAACCUGACAUCCUGAUCAGAGACAAUGGAGACAGGAAUCCCAUGGUGAGACACGAUCUCGCGAGCAUAUAAUUCGGCCAAUUUCUCGGCCGAUGAGUUCUCCCGUAUAGCCAAGAAGUAGGCGCUCAUGGUCAGUCGAUCCACGAAGCCCCCUACUUUUGAUGGGACCCAUGACCCCAUCAAAUCCAUGAGGUGACUGUCGGACGUGGAUGGAUGUUUCUUCACAUGCGUGUGUUCUACUGACCAGAAGGUCAGAUGUGCCCUAAACUUGCUAAGGUCCAGGGCAAAGGACUGGUGGAGAUUGAUGACUGGGUCGUAUUCAGACGAGCAGAGAGAUGUGUUACUUGGGAGCAGUUCAGGGAUAUGUUCCGUGCUCACUACAUUCCUCGAGUCGAGCGGGAGUGGUUAUCUUAGGAGUUUCUGGAGUUGAGACAGGAUCGGGAGACACCCUGCGCUGCCUCAUAGUCCUUGACUACAUCCAGCCACCUGCGCUGCCUCAUGUUCAUGUUCGGCUGAUCCAUGAUAUGUCUCAAGCUCUUGUGAUCCGUGUAAAUGGUAUAGUGGAGCCCAUAGAGGUAAUGUCUCCAUAUCUUGAGGGCGAACACCACCACCCCCAGUUCCAAGUCAUGCGUAGGGUAUCUCGUCUCAUGCGGCUUCAGCUGCCGCGAUGCGUAGGAUAUCACUUGUCCUUUCUGCAUGAGGACCGCCCCUAAACCUGUGAUGGAUGCAUCACAGAACACCACAAAAUCCUCAACUCCUUCCGAGAGUGUCAAUACUGGUACCUCGCACAAAUGCUGACGGAGGGUCUCAAACGCCCUCUGCUUCUCGGGACCCCACCGGAAAUCCACCCCCUUCCUCGUCAGAUGAGUGAGGGACACUGCAAUCUUGGAGAAAUCCUGUAUGAACCUCCGGUAGUACCCUACCAAUCCCAGGGAGCUCCUAAUAUCUGAGGGAGAUUUCAGAAUCUCCCACUGCAUAACCGCCUCGAUUUUGGCCGGGUCGACCAAAAUCCCUUCCUGGUUAAUGAGAUGUCCGAGGAACUGGACCUCUUGUAACCAAAACUCACACUUCGAGAACUUAGCGUACAGCCGUUCCCGUCUCAGAACUCCCAACAACUCUCGCAGACGCUCCUCAUGCUGCUCUCGGGUCUUGGAAUACACCAAGAUAUCAUCUAUAAAUACUAUGAUCGAGCGAUCAAGCAUCGGUCUACAGACCCGAUUCAUCAGGUCCAUGAACACUGCUGGCACGUUGGUGAGCCCAAACGGCAUCACCACAGCCUCGUAAUGUCCAUAAUGGGUUUGGAACGCGGUCUUCUCCACGUCCUCCUCUCUGACCCUGACCUGAUGAUACCCAGACCUCAAGUCUAUCUUGGAAAACCAAGAUGCGCCCUGUAACUGAUCGAAGAGAUCGUCUAUCCUCGGGAGUGGGUAACGGUUCUUCACCGUCAACUUAUUCAACUCUCGGUAAUGAAUACACAUCCGGUGCGAACCGUCCUUCUUCCGGACGAAAAGUAUUGGUGCUCCCCAUGGAGAACUGCUAGGUCGAAUGAACUGCUUGCCCAGCAGUUCCUGUAGCUGCGAUGACAGCUCCUGCAUCUCUGGUGGUGCCAGUUGGUACGAUGCCUUAGCAAUAGGGGCCGCACCUGGAACCAGGUCGAUCCUGAACUUGACCUGCCUCUCCAGAGGUAUCCCUGGUAACUCCUCCAAAAAUACAUCUGCGAACUCCCUGACCACCGGUACAUCAGAAACCGAAAACUGAUCCCUGACCCGCAUAUCUACCACAUAUGCUAGAUAACCCACACACCUGUGCUGAAUGUACCGUCGUGCCCUGGCAGCUGAACAAAACCCUAAUCCCACUCUGGUGCCCUCGCCAUAUACAAUCAGUUCUCCCCCUCUUGGGGUUCGAACUACCACUCGCUGGCCCUCGCAAUCAAUCAUAGCACCGAACCGACUCAGGCAAUCCAUACCCACAAUCACGCACACCUCCCUAAUGGGAAUCGGGAUCAAAUCUAUUGGAAAGGACGCCCCGAAAAUCUCCAAGUCACACCCUCGAUAUACUAAAGAAGCAGAAACCCCGUGUUCGUUGGCAAUAGACACUCGCAACGGACACUUUAACUCGCUCAUUGGCGCACUGAACUCCCUACUAAAUAACUGAGAUACGAAGGAUCGACUCGCCCCAAGUCAAAUAAGACCAAAGCAGACAUAGAGUUCACUAAAAACGUACCCGCAACCACGUCUUGUGCUUCCUUGGCCUCCUCGGCCGUAAGCUGAAAGGCGCGCCCCUGAGCCUUCGGGGGCUCUGCCCUACCCUGCCUCCCAUCGGUAAUCCUCAACAUAGCUGGAGCUGAAGCCUGUGCCGGCCUGGCUGCAAGCUGUGGAAAGUUGGUCUUCACAUAACCAACCUGAUGACAGUGGUAGCAGAUCCUCAUAUCCUGAACUGGGGUCGUCUGACGAUAAUCCCUCGCAAAAUGCCCCCUCCUGGCCGCAUUUGCGGCAUCCGCCACCGGACCUACAAACCCCCGCGUGUCCCUUUCUACACUUGCCACAAGUGCGGCUCUAAUACCAACUUAUAACACCCAAAAAUUUCGAACAAAUUUAAACUUUCAAAACAUGUCAAGUUCAUCAAAACAUUACAACUUUGUUUUCAAAAUACAUUUUUAUCAGAGUAUUCCCAGAAACAUAAACAUAGUCGAAGGAGCGGUACGAUCAUGCCUUCGCUUUGCCGCGAUCACCUGAGGUACCUGAAACAAUAAACUGAAACUGUAAGCUCGAGAGCUUAGUGAAUUACCCCCAAAAUACCAACACCAUACGGAUAUAACCGUAUUAUAAUAAACAUAGUAGCAAACAAUACAGCAUGCGUAAUGAGCCAUCAGUCUGACUGGACCGAAUCCCGGUCCACAGUCUAUCUGGAUCGCUCUCCGAGCCCUCGACACGUCUGGACCUCCCUCCUUGGGGCCUUUAGCCUAUCCGGACCGCUCGCUGGGCCUUCGGCCUGACUAGAUUUGUCUGGCCCGGGAAUGCAGUCUACCCGGUCCGCCCAGAGUGUAUUGGCCUACUGCACACAACCGGACCUGCCUCAACCCUUUCCCCAAACCAACAAACAUGUGCACAUAACAUAUAAUCAUCUACAAUCCUCAACCAGACAAACAGUCUAACAUAUCACAUAGCAUAUCAAUAUCCUAACCAAGAUUCCGAUCUAACCGGUCACUAGCAUAACAUUACCCUAUAUCCCGGGUACCGAUCUUAACCGGGUCUCUAACACAUACCAUCCUAACUACCAGGAUGCAAACAUAGCAAAGCAAUCACAUAACAACAGCUACCCGGAUUUCCAUCCGAUAAGGGUCGCCCUUGGUGCCACAGACCCUGUCGAUAUAGUGAGGAUAACUCACCUUGCAACUGUCGUCUGAACUAGAAAACUCAACUCCCGGAUCCAACACGAACUCCACCACCUAUAGAUAUGUAACCCCUUUUUAUAAAUCUCCAAAUUACCAGAAUACCCUCAGAAGUCAACUGGUCAACGCUUGGGUCCAAGUCAAAGUCCAUAGUCAAAGUCAAUAGUCCAUGUUGACUUGAAUCGUCGAGUGCAGAUCACCAACUCGUCGAGUCUUUUCUGAACUCGAGAAGUCGUGAAAUCCUUGAUUGGCUUGUCGAGUUCCCCUUUAACUCGCCGAGUUCAUACGUGUCCAAGACUUUUAGGAGAAACCCUAGCCGACUCGCUGAGUCCACGAACGGCUCGCCGAGUUUAAGGCAAUCUUUAACUAACUCGCCGAGUUGUUCAUCCACUCAUCGAGUUCAAGGCCAUCUUCAAUGGACUCGCCGGUUUGUUCAUCCAACUCGUCGAGUCCUUGCAGAUCUUUAUCCAUGUAGAUUCUUUUUAAGCCAUGACAAAGUUCCAGAUUACAUAUCCAAGCUUCUAGGGCAUGUUUAUCACAUAAAUUUGCAAACUUUACGUGCAUGCAAGGCUUUAAGACUCUUAAAUGGAAAAACUAAGCUUUCAAUGGAGUCUCACACCUGAGGGAAGGCUCCUGCUAGGCAAAGCUGAUGACUUUAUGGAUCUAGAGGCAAAAGGGAGUCCAGAUCUGAAGUUACAACUUCAAAUUUUAUCUUAUACAUAGGGAGCCUUCCAUAAUACUCAUCCAAAGGAGGUUAAAAGAGGGAUGAGCUAAAGCAACAGCUUAAUACCUUCCAGAGAGUGACAACUGAUGAAUCUCUUAGCUCCCCAUGAGUUACUGGCCUAGAUUUCAUUGUUUCCCCAAGUGUUUCCUUCUCCAAAGUUCUCCCUCCAAGCUUGAACACACCAAAGGAACACACACACACGAUUUAGGGUUUAAGAGGGACAAGGGGCAGUAAGGGGGAGGCUGGGGGAGGCCAAUGAUCCUUUAAAUAGGGUGCCAAACCCCGAGGUUUAGGUUUUCAUCCUCCAGCUCCUACUCGUCGAGUCCCUUAUUGGACUCGACGAGUAGGUCACUUAAACGUCCAACCCAACCCGCUGCUACUCGACGAGUAGGGCAACCAACUCGUCGAGUAGGCCUUGAAAACAAAAAAAUUCUUAUAUAACAUCGAUACUUGAGAAUUGGGCCAUUACACAAGGAAAAAUGGUUUCUAAAAUUAAAAAGGAAGGAUUUUAAGAAAGAAAAAGGGUGUGAUGCAUGCGACCAGCCGGGAUCAAGUAAGUUUCCCCAAGAUACCCAUACUUGUUAUGUUAUGCUAUAUGGUUUUCAUUCAGAAAACUGCAUGCCAGAAUAGGACUAAGGAUCUAGGAGGAUGCCUUGUGUGCCUGAUAUUUGAUUCUGAGAAUUGCAUGCUAGUUAGGGCUAAGGGUCUAGGAAGGAUGCCUUAUAUUCCUAUUGUAUGCGCUAUAUGCUAGGACUGUCUAGUCAGCAGUAGGAUGGCCUGUGUAGGUUAUGCCUGAUUUGGUUACCCAAUGCACGAAUGCUGCUUGCUUUAUGCGAUGGGGGUUCUGGCCAUCUUCAACUAGCUAAGGAACGGAUAUGUAACAGUAUCUGCAAGUUAGUUAGGAGGAAGUGAUGGGGACUCCUAGUGCAGCUGAUGGUUGAGGGUAGGUCGAAGAGUGCCCUAAGGAAGCCUAGGAUGAGGUCAGUGGAAAGGGUAUUAGUAAAAGGGACUUGGUGAAGUCGAAGCAAUCCUUGAGGAAAGUAUAGGUAGAUGUGGAAGGUAGUAUGGGCAUGUACUACUGAAAGCAGAGGACCCGUACUCGAAUCAAGGAGGCCUAGAUGGAACUUGGAAACUUGGAAAGUGUGUUAGACCUUCGAAAGGUAUAUGUGACCCUGACAUCCGUAUGUUUAUUUUCAGAAAUGUGGUCACGCGACAUGGAUCAGGAGGUUCAGGAUCUGGGUCAAGAUCGGGCUUGGGCGCAGGAUCCGAGCAUGGGGAUGAUGCGUUACGCGAGUUCAUCGCGUCCGAGAUCACGAGAGGUAUCCUUGAUGCAACGCCAGUUAUCUUCGGGUCGAUCAAGAAAGGGAUCAUUAAGCUGAUGGAGGACCGCCUCAGGGCGUUCAGGAGUGACAUGGCGGCCAGCCAGUCAGGAUCAUGCACACUGCCCUUUAAGGACAUCAGAGGGAGUGGUGCGCCGGAUUUCCAUGGGGUGAAAUACCUCAUUGCUGUUACGAGAUAGAUCGCAGACAUUGAGUCUGCGCAGCUGACGAGCUUCUACCUAAAAGGGUCGAAGGUCCGUUUCGCUGCAGGGUGUUUGAGAGACAGGGUUAGAGAUUGGUAGGAUUCGGUUGGUGACUCUCUAGGAGCCUCGGCUGUUGAGGCUGUGACCUGGUCAGACUUUGUGACCAGAUUCAGGGCGGAGUUGGCACCAACUGUGGAGCUUUAGUAGCUGGCCAGGGAGUUCUUGAGCAUGAGGAAGACUACGAAGACUGUGACGGAGAUCACCGCCAAGUUCCGGGAGAGGGCAUUGUUGGUGCCCCAGUAUGUGGGAGAUGAGGACAUGAAGAGGACCCGCUACCAUGACAUGCUACGAGCUGGCAUCCGGGAGCAUGUCAGUUUCUCAGCUUGCCCUACCCUGGAUUCCAUGAUUUCCAGGGCUAGGGAGAGGGAGAUUGAUCUGGAGCAUAUUCAGAAGAGGAAGGCAGCGGAGGGGCUGGCGAAUGGGGCUUCGGGGAAGAAGCCCAAGAGAUCUGAUGGUAGGCCGAAAGGCCAGUCAGGGCGGGACCAUUGUGGGAAAUACGGUUGUUCACACAAAGGAGCUUGUCGCACUGGGUCGGGUUCAGGAAGCUAUAAGUGUGGCAAGGUUGGGCAUUUUGGCAGAGAUUGUACUGCCCCUACUCCUGCGAUUCAGAUAUCAAACCUGAUUUGCUUUCAUUGCAAUCAGAAGGGCCAUAAAAAGCCAAUUGCUCUAGAUUGACAGCAGCAGCGGCGCCGGCAGUGGCACCGACUCUAACGACAACAUUGGUUAUGGAUCGCCGGAAGGCCAAGUUGGAGGCUCCAGUGGUUUGGAGUCGAGCAUUUCAGCUGACAGCCGAGGAGGCACGCGCUGCACCCGAUGUGGUGACGGGUAUGAUUUCUUAUUUUUAUGCUUUUAUGUUAUGUCGCUGUGAUUUUGAUAUAUUAUGUGCCUUGCUUAGGAUCGUUCCAUGUGAACGGUAUCCCAGUUCAAAUGUUGUUUGAUUUGGGUGCCACUCGAUCGUUUGUCUCUCUUGCGCAUAGCAAGAAGUUUCCGGAGUCUUCGGGCAUGUUGGAUUGCCCUCUAGAGGUCGAGAUUGCCGACGACCGGUCGGUACGAGCGUCAGAGGUCUACCGGGAUUGUGUUUUAAGGUUGUUCGAGGAACGUUACCUGGUGGACUUGGUUCCCAUACCUUUGCGGGGGAACAAGGUUGUUAUUGGAAUGGAUUGGCUGAGCCCCAAUGGGGAAGUGAUUGACUGCGCGCAUCCAUCGGUGCAGAUUAGGACCCCUAGUGGGGGAGAGCUGGUGGUUCAGGGCGAAAGUGAUGGGUUUUGAUCAUUCUAACACUUCCUAAGUGUGCAUGCAACCCUAAUAACCUUGGAUCUAUGUUUGUCUAAUUAUCAUGCAAAGUUGAUUUCCAAGGUUAUGAUCCUAUCUAGCAUACAUGGGGAACAAUUUUAACUUGAAUCAUAGAUAGAAUAACUUACCUUGUUGUUGCUUGUGUUCCUUGAAACCUUGUGAGCCUAGCACCCCAAGUGUGAUGCCUCAAAUGCUUCACACAACACCAAAUGCUCUUGGAAAGACUCUUGAGAUAACACACACUUCUCAAAAUCGGCCAAGCCCUCUAGUUUCUUAGUGUAGCCGAUUUUGGUGGAGAAUAUGAUUCUUAUAUAGUGUUGACACAUCUAGGGUUACACCAUGUAAACCCUAAUGUGUCAUGACUCUUCAUUUCCAUGACCCAUGGGUUUGUAACUCCCAUGGAGCAUCCAUGGAGCAUCCUAUGGGUAGAACCCAACUUGAUAAUCCAUGGAGCCUCUUAGCCCACUAUACAAGAUAUGGAUGAUUUACAUAAUCAACCCAUAUAUUUAAUUAGUUAUCCUUUGAUCACUUAAUUAAUUCCAAAUUAAUUCUUUGAUCAACUAAUCAAAUAAUAUUAUUAAUAUAUUAGAACUUAUAAUAUAUUAAUAAUCUCCAAGUGUUAUUUCUCUCAUUUAGUCUAUCCAAUUGCAUGGUGCCAUGCAACCCAAAUGGACCAUGCCGGGUCGGGUCAAGUACAAGCCCGAAAUAGUUAUGGACUUAGACACCUUAUCCAACAGUCUCCCACUUGGAUAAGUCUAAUAACUAUAUCUCUAGUACUUCAGGAACCGACCGGCAAUCGUAGCUCUUUCAAGGUCUCUCGGAACUGAGAAGAUGAUGGUACGCCAUUUAAGAUAAGUGAUCAUAUAAUCCUCCGUUCUAGAUAUCAGCCGGACAAAUACAUGGAACAUUGUCUUGCUUAUUGUCCAGCAUUUGUUUCCCGAUUUCCGAUUUGUUUGACAUAGAACUUAAUUGAACACAUCAACUUAGUUCUGACCGGGCCCGGUACAUGGGUCAAAACAAAAUCAUCGAGGGGCCCAGAUAUCAGCUUCUAAUCCAAGAAGGAACAGAUAAACUUCGACUCAUAUGUUUGUUCUACCACUCAUUGAAUUACACACAAAAGUACGUUUUAUAACAUCGAGUUACCAAUGCGGUUUCGUACAGUCAAUGCAUAACCAACUUGUAAGUAACAAAUCAUAUCUCUAGGUUUGAAGACUUAUAUGAUAUUACCGUCUCACGAUCACUCGAGAUAGAAUUCCAUGAAGUGAUUCCAGUGAGCGUGGGUUGAGUCCAAUGCUCAGAACUUAUGAGCACUCAUGAUUGUUGUAGCCUUGUCCAACACCUUAGACCUCUACAACCCAUCAUGACAGUCUUGAUUCAUACCUACUUCCGACAUAUGACCGACUGUGGAGGUUUGAAUAAUAUGUUACACCAAACAAAAUUAUUCUGGAAGUCAAAACAUGCAAAAGAAAUAUAGUAAACGAUUGACAAGAGAUAGCAACACUUUACUCAUAAAUAAAACACCUUUUAUUCAUCAUCAAAUGUCAAUUACACUUUACAAAUUUCUGGGUUAUCUAACUACUAAAACUUAUAUCAUCCUUCAGCCCUAUGCUCCGAGCAUGCUGGAGAUGCUUAACCCUACUCAGUCCCUUCGUGAGGGGAUCUGCUGGGUUCUCAUCCGAUGAUACCCUCUUUGCCACGAGGAGUCCUUCUUCGAUCCGAUGUCUAAUGAAAUGGUAUUUUCUGUCGAUGUGUCUGGAUCUCCCAUGAUCCCUUGGUUCCUUGGCUAAGGCAACAGCACUUUCACUAUCACAGAAAAUUUCCAUUGGCUCUUUAAUAGCUGGUACAACUCCAAGGUCUCCAAUGAAGUUCUUCAGCCAUAUCGCCUCCUUUGCUGCUUCGCUAGCUGCAAUAUACUCUGAUUCACAAGUAGAAUCUGCCACUGUCUCUUGCUUGGAACUCUUCCAAGAAAUUGCUCCUCCGUUUAGGGUAAAGACCCAGCCCGACUGAGAGCGGAAAUUAUCCCUAUCAGUCUGGAAGCUAGCAUCACUAUACCCUACAACUCUCAAGUCAUCACUCCCACCGAGGGUAAGGACCCAGUCCUUAGUCCUCCGUAGGUACUUGAGGAUAUUCUUUACCGCAGUCCAGUGUGCCUUGCCAGGGUUCGCCUGAUACCUGCUAACCAUGCUCAAGGCAAAAGCUACAUCGGGUCGAGUACACGUCAUAGCAUACAUGAUCGAUCCUACAGCCGAAGCGUAAGGUGUUCGACUCAUUUCUGCUAUCUCAGCCUCAGUGCUAGGGCUUUGUGUCUUACUCAAUCUGGUGUUACUCUGGAUGGGUAACUCUCCUUUCUUGGAAUCCUGCAUGCUGAAUCUCUUCAGCACCUUAUCCAAGUAGGUACUCUGACUAAGUCCAAUUAGUCUUUUACUCCGAUCUCUCAAGAUUCUUAUCCCUAGAAUAUAGGCAGCUUCACCAAGGUCCUUCAUAGCGAAACACUUCCCAAGCCAGGACUUUACUUCCUGCAGGGUUGGAAUGUCGUUUCCUAUGAGUAGUAUGUCAUCCACAUACAAUACCAAAAAGCUAACUAUACUCCCACUAGCCUUGACAUACACACAAGAUUCAUCUUCACUCCUAGAAAAGCCAAAUUCCUUGACCUUUUCAUCAAAGCAAAGAUUCCAUCUGCGAGGUGCUUGCUUUAAUCCAUAAAUGGAUUUCUCAAGCUUACACACUCUAUUAGGGUACUCGUUGCUGACAAAACCCUCUGGCUGACUCAUGUAAACAUCUUCAGCCAACUUUCCAUUAAGGAAAGCGGUUUUGACAUCCAUUUGCCAUAUUUCAUAGUCAUGAAAUGCAGCUAUGGCUAACAGAACCCGAAUAGACUUAAUCUUGGCUACUGGAGAAAAGGUCUCAUCAUAAUCCACUCCAGGAAUUUGAGAGAAGCCCUUUGCAACCAGUCUAGCCUUAUAAGUGUGUACUUUACCAUCCAUGUCAGUCUUCUUCUUGAAGACCCAUUUGCACCCUACUGUCUUACGACCUGGUACAUUGUCAACCAAGUUCCAAACUUGAUUGUCAUACAUGGAUUGUAUCUCGCUAUCCAUUGCCUCUUUCCAUUUAGCAGACUCAGGGCCUGCCAUGGCUUCCGCAUAGCUGUUAGGUUCAUCUAGACCUACUAGUGUCUCAUCACUAAUAAGUGUCUCACCUUCCGCAGUAAUAUGAAAACCAUAGUAAUGCUCAGGUACAUUCCUAACCCUUGUGGAACGCCUCAGAGGUACAACUGGAGGUAUAAUUGGAUCAACAGGAGGUUCCUCCUCAAGUUGACUGCUAGGGUUUGAGGUUCCUUCACCACUUGACUCUUGAAGUUCUUCAAGGUCAAUUAGCCUCCCACUGUCUCCUUGGCUUAUGAACUCUCUCUCUCGAAAGACAGCCCUCCUUGCUACAAAGACCACAUUCUCACUAGGUCUGUAGAAGAGGUAACCAAAGGAUUUUUGUGGGUAGCCGAUGAAAAUACACUUCUCGCUUCGAGGUUCGAGCUUGUCAUGAGUCUCGCGUCUCACGAAAGCCUCGCAACCCCAAACCUUGAUGUGGGCUAGACUAGGAACUUUUCCAGUCCACAUCUCGUGAGGUGUUUUGGCAACCUUCUUUGUAGGGACCAGAUUAAGGAUAUGGGCGGCAGUCUCUAAGGCAUACCCCCAAAAUGAGAUUGGUAGCGUAGCUCGACUCAUCAUGGAACGAACCAUAUCCAACAAGGUUCGAUUACGCCUCUCAGCUACACCAUUCAACUGUGGUGUCCUGGGAGGUGUCAAUUGUGAGACAAUCCCACAUUCCCUUAGAUAGUCGAGGAACUCAGUACUAAGAUACUCACCACCACGAUCGGAUCGAAGCAUCUUAAUGUUCCUGCCCAAUUGAUUCUCGACUUCCUGUUUAAACUCUUUAAACCUUUCAAAAGUCUCUGACUUAUGCUUGAUUAAGUAGACAUAUCCAUAUCUACUGUAAUCAUCAGUAAAAGUCACAUAAUAACGAUUAGCAUCUCUUGUGGCAUGUUUGAAGGGUCCACACACAUCCGUGUGUACAAGAUCCAACAAACCUUCACCCCUAGCACAAGAACCUGUGAAGGGUGACUUUGUCAUUUUUCCAAGUAAGCAUGAUUCACAACUAUCAUCUGACUUUAGGUCAAAUGAUUCCAAGACUCCAUCCUUUUGGAGUUGGCCUAUGCGUUUCUUGCUUAUAUGUCCAAGACGACAAUGCCAUAAUGAUGCUUUAUCCAAGUUAUUAUCAUUAGUAGAAUCAAUACACAAUACAUUAUUUCCUAGAUUAUCUACAACAGACACAGCUUCAUACACACCAUCACAAGGUAAUGCUUUAAAAUAAAACACAUUAUUAAAGAAAGCAUUUAUUCCACCAAUUUCAUUAUCAAAAGAAAAGGUAAAACCUUGUUUAUACAAAGCAUGAAAGGAAAUAACAUUUCUUGCCAUUUCUGGCGAAUAACAACAUUUAUUCAAAUCUAAAGUAAAUCCACUACUAAGCAACAAAGUAUAAACUCCAAUCUUGGUGACAGGUGAAACUUUCCUAUUCCCCAUGAUCAAGUUUAUCUUUCCAUGCUCCACAUUCUCACUUCUUCUUAGUCCCUGUAAUUCAGAACAAAUAUGAAUACCGCAACCGGUAUCAAGGACCCAAGAGUUAGAAUAGAGUGAAUUAUUAGAUGAUAUAGUGUAAAUACCUGCAUGGUUGGGUUUCACUUUCCCAUCCUUCAAAUCUUGCUGGUACUUUGGGCAGUUUCGCUUCCAGUGCGAUUUUUCAUGGCAAUAGAAGCAUUCAGCCUCUUUGGGAUCAGAAGAAGGUGUAACGAAACCUUUCUUGGUUCCGCUAGAAGAGGAGCCAUCAAGGGUCUUCCCCUUGGUACCCUUCGAGGGGUUCUUCCUCUUCUUCCCUUUCCCUUUCCCGAUUGCCAGGACAGUUGAGGAGUUUGGAGUAGGAGUAGGGGUGGUCACAACCGACUUACCUUUAUGACCUGAUUUUGCAGUCUUUAGGAGUCCGUGAAGUUUGCUAAGUGUAACUUCCUCCUUAUUCAUGUGGUAUGUCAUGCGGAAUUGAUCAUAACAUGAAGGUAAGGAGUGCAAAAUAAUAUCUAUUGCUAACUCCUCAGGGAAGUUCACAUUCAACUUCAUCAAUCGAUCCACAUACCUUUGCAUUUUCUGCAUGUGGCUUGUGAUGGGUUCACCAUCUUUCAUUCGGGUUGUGAUCAUAGAGGAGAUGAUUUCAUAUCGCUCUUGACGAGCACUCUGAUGGUAGCGGUCCAUCAAAUCCUGGUGCAUCUCAAAAGGAUAGUAGUCCUCAUAGGACUUUUGGAGCUCGGCUGACAUGGUGGCCAUCAUGAUGCAUGCCACUUUUGUAGCAUCUCUUUCAUGAACCGCAUAUUUAGCAAGCUCCUUAGGAGUAACAGUCGGCUCAGGCACCUUAAGCUCCUUGUCAAGAACAUAUUCCUUGUUCUCGUAACGAGUGACCAUCCUGAUGUUUCUGAUCCAGUCAGUAAAGUUGGAUCCAUCAAAGAUGACUCUCCCACAAAGGUUCAUGAGAGAGAAGGAGCCAGUAGGGUUUGAGCCAGGAGUAGCAUUGUUGGAAGACAUCUGAAGAGAAGAAAAAUAACUUUAGUUUAGAUAUAGGGAUAGUCCUUAAUAAAACACCUAAAUGUAAUAUUAAGGCUAGGAUCCAAUCACAAUAUGUUAUAACUUAGAAGAGGGAUGUCGUAAUCCAAGUUAUAACAUAUUUGAAAAGGUAGGUGAAUGACGAUUCACCAAUUUCCACCAUGAAAACGUAAUAUAAAUUAUUAGGUUUUUAUUUGGUUUUUAGAAAUUCCUAGAUUCUUUGAGAUUCAUUGAACCUUUCAAUGGCAUGUUUCAAUCUCGAGUGUGCCCUUCAUGUUUUGUGACUGGGAUACCGAGGAUCACAAAACAAGGUGUGAAGUAACCAUGCAAAUUACUUGGUACCCUUAAUGUUUUUCACUUAAUCGUUGUGCCGAUAAACCACACGUGCUCCUUCCGACCUGAUGAAAAACCUUAAGUCACCCUUUGCCUCCCUUGUUAAGUCCAAGUUAGUGUGCCGGUAAACCACACACGCUCCACCAACGACUUAAACAAGGUGCAAAGUGUAAUUUCAUGGAUUAGCACCUUAUUCACAUUUUUCCUAAAGUAACUAAGAUUGGGAAUUUAUAAAACAUUUAGUUACUUUAUAAUAAUCAUUAUACUUUUAAUGAGAAUUUUUAAGUCCUUGUCUUACCCGUUCGGCUAACGACCCUCCACCAGUCAAGCAAGCGGUGGGUGAGAGUGGACACCCAUUAAGUUGCCAUUUUAUAGGCAACAACCUUAUACCCACCUUAUAGACCGGCUUCGUGAAUGAGGCGUACUAGCGGUAAGACGACUUUGUUCUUAUACAUAUAUAUAUAAUUAUUAAAUCAUAAUAAUAUAAGUAUAAGGGUUGAAUUUUAACUUUUAAAAUUCUAGGGGUUGGAACUAAAGUUUUAACUUAACUUUACUUGUUCCAAAACUUGAGGGCAAGUUUUGUAAACUUUCAAAACUUUUCAUUUCUUGUAACUUAUGAGUUUAAUAGAGUAAUAAAAUGAGGACUUUUCAUUUUUCCUAACUCUUGUGUUCUUUUAAUGUUUUUUAAUCCAAGAGACUUUUGGUUUUCCAUAACUUGAGGACAAGUUAUGGACUCCAUUAAAACACAUUAUGAUCAUGAAUUAAUCUACCACAUAGGUUACAAAUAAUUCCUAUGAUCAUCUAAACAUCAUAAGAACAAGAAUAUGAAUAUGAACACUUUCAAGAAUCAAAAUCACAUUUAAUCUUUGUAAUUUUGAUAACUAGUUGUUGUAAAUGAGUUAGAAAAGACAUUACACCUUCUAAAAUAAGUUUUCAAGUACCAAAACAUUUUAGGGUAAUGAUUCUAAUCCAUUUCCAGCAACACAAGUCGAAAUUCUGCACUCUGUCGACCCUACUCGCCGAGUGCAUAAACCUACUCGCCGAGUAGGUUGAAGAUACACAUGAACUCGUCGAGUCCUCCCCAUGGACUCGCCGAGUCCAUCAGUCAGACAGCAAGAUUUUCGACUUUCUUCAACUUUUAAGCACAAAUAACAAACAAACAAGCCUAGGCUCUGAUACCACUGAUGGGUUUUGAGCAUUCUAACACUUCCUAAGUGUACAUGCAACCCUAAUAACCUUGGAUCUAUGUUUGUCUAAUUAUCAUGCAAAGUUGAUUUCCAAGGUUAUGAUCCUAUCUAGCAUACAUGGGGAACAAUUUUAACUUGAAUGAAAGAUAGAACUACAUACCUUGUUGUUGAUUUUGAUCCUUGAAACCUUGUGAGCCUAGCACCCCAAGUGUGAUGCCUCAAAUGCUUCACACAACACCAAAUGCUAUGGAGUAAACUUGGAGAGAAAGUAUAACACUCUAAAAAUCGGCUCUAGCCCUCAAGCAUGCAUGUGUAGCCGAUUUUGGGAGAAACAUGAGCUUUAUAUAGUGUUGACACAUCUAGGGUUACACCAUGUAAACCCUAAUGUGUCAUGACUCUUCAUUUCCAUGACCCAUGGGUUUGUAACUCCCAUGGAGCCUCCAUGAAGCAUCCAAUGGGUUUAACCCAACUUGAUUAUCCACGGAGCCUCUUAGCCCACUAUAUAAGUUAUGGAUGAUUUACAUAAUCAAUCCAUAUAUUUAAUUAGUUAUCUUUUGAUCACUUAAUUAAUUCUAAAUUAAUUCUUGAUCAAACUAAUUAAAUAAUAUUGUUAAUAUAUUAGAACUUAUAAUAUAUUAAUAAACCACAAGUGUUAUUUCUCUCAUUUAGUCUAUCCAAUUGCAUGGUGCCAUGCAACCCAAAUGGACCAUGCCGGGUCGGGUCAAGUACAUACCGGAAAUAGUUAUGGACUUAGACACCUUAUCCAAUAGAAAGCCCACAGCGAGGACCAGCUUUAUGUUCGGCAGCGAGGGCUAGGCGCUACCUCCAAUAGGGUUGCACAGGUUAUGUCGCAUAUGUUAUGGAUACCCGGGAGGCGGGUAGGGCGACGGUGGGCGAUGUGCCCGUGGUACGAGAGUGUGCAGAAAUAUUCCCUGAGGAGUUGCCUGGGAUACCUCCAGAGCGACAGGUGGAGUUCAGGAUCGACCUAGUCCCUGGUGCGGCUCCGAUAGCCAAGGCACCGUAUUGGUUGGCUCCUCCUGAGAUGCAGGAGUUGUCUACACAGCUACAGGAGUUGUUAGACAAGGGAUUCAUUAGACCAAGUAUUUCUCCCUGGGGAGCCCUGAUUCUGUUUGUAAAGAAGAAGGACGGGUCGCAUCGGAUGUGUAUAGAUUAUCGGGAGCUGAACAAGGUAACGGUGAAGAACCGUGACCCACUCCCGAGGAUUGAUGACCUCUUUGACCAACUACAAGGAGCGUCUUGGUUCUCCAAGAUUGAUCUACGUUCAGGGUAUCACCAGAUGAGGGUUAGAGAGGAGGAUGUGCAGAAGACUACCUUUCGGACCCGUUAUGGUCACUAUGAGUUUGUGGUGAUGCCUUUCGGUCCCACCAAUGCUCCUGUCGCGUUUAUGGAUCUCAUGAACCGUGUGUGCAGACUGAUGCUGGAUCAGUCUGUGAUAGUUUUCAUCGAUGACAUCUUUCUCUAUUCCAAGAUGCAGGAGGAGCACGAGGAGCAUCUGCGAGAGGUUCUGGAGACUUUGAGAAGGAAGAACUUGUUGUCACACUCCAAAACCGGAACGGCGGAAACGUUCUCGGGUGGAUGACGUCAUGUCAAGUAUCACAACAUAUGCAGUAUAGUAAUCAAAGUACAACAACCAUUACAAUAAUAGUAAUAGUUUUACAUAAGUUACAUUUUAUAGAGACAUCAAAGUAAUACAGAAACUAGUAUAGAUGCAGCUCGGUACUAGGCUGUCUUCACAAAAGCUCCUGGGAUGUACCUGUCUAUCGCUGACCUGAGAAUACAAGUUAUUUUGAAAGCGAGUAUCAGCAUUUUAUAAUGCUGGUGAGUCCCUAAGUAUUUAGUGUCAUUUGUAUAAAUACGCAUUUUUAUUCAAAAUAACUUUAUGAAAAGUAGUAGUUUAGAAUCUACGGUGUAUUAGCGUCCUUUCCAGAAAAUCCUAUAUUUUCUAAAUAAAAACAGUCUUCUACCAAGACCCGACUAAUAUAUGUUUUAAGGAGUAGUUUUCCCCAAAUUACUAUCAUUACCAAAUACAAAAUUGACUUUAAAAGAGUAAUGAGAAAAUCAAAAGUGAAGAUAUUAAGGGAAAAAUAACAUAUGCCUCAGCAGUUAUACUGCUAACUAAGGCAAAAGAAAUCAUAGACUCCAGGAGAGUCUCGAAUGAAUGAUACGCCUGGCUCAGUCUAACAAAAGGAAACAUAGACCCCAGACGGUAUCAAAUGAAUGAUAUGGCUAGCAAGGUCUAAAACAAAGAAACACAGACCACAGACAGUAUCAAAUGAACGAUACAGCUAGCAAGGUCUAAAACAAAGCGUGAAUAUGAACUUGUAUGUAACCAUGCUGAUUGACGAUAGAGUAUCCGAUGACCCUCCAGGUCACGCGUAGAGGUAGUGGCAGUAGAGGUAGUAGCAUUAUGUCACCCAUGGGCCUUACCGGCGCGGACUGUAGCUAGUAGUAAGUGUGUGGGAGUGUCAGUCCCGUAUAGAUCUAUACACAUGAUGUUCGCUCUCCUUCCCAGAGACUCUGGUUACACGGCGUUGGCGCAAUGAAGCGUUGUAGAGGGAAAUAGUGUGUCACAUUCUAAAGUAAAAGAGAGAGGUGGAGAUAGAGAUAGAGACAGAGACAGAGACAGAGAUAGAGAUAGAGAUAGAGAUAGAGAUAGAGAUAGAGAUAGAGGUAGAGAUAGAGAUAGAGAUAGAGAUAGAGAUAGAGGUAGAGGUAGAGGUAGAGAUAGAGAUAGAGUUAGAGUUAGAGAUAGAGAUAGAGAUAGAGAUAGAGAUAGAGAUAGAGUCUCCUAACUAUUCCUAUAAUAGUUACUAGGGUUCCAGAAACGUGAAUAAUAGAGGGAGGCCUUUACUACCCAAGGCGAUGCAUUGGCUGAGAGAGAAAGAGCUUUUAUGUCUAUAUAUGUAUACAUGAUAUAUAACUAAUGUUUAAAUGACCUUCGGACGGAUAAACGAUACCCACCAGACCACAUCCCAACGAGGAAAAGGAAAUAGGGCGAACUAGCCUUCCUAAGUCUUUUAAACAUUAUUUAUAUAACUAUACAAAUACAGACAUGCAUUUAACGAAAUAAAAGCAUAGAAGAAAACUAUGAUGAAAACUUUGGAAAACCUUUACGCAUAACAACUUUGAAAAUGAUUUGCAUAAAACAGAUUAAGUGAAGAAAAACCUUUGGGAAACCUUUAUCAAGAGUUGAAAGUGAGAUUGGAAAAUCUUAAGCUGGAUAAAACAGUAUAACAUGCAAAAAUCCAUUUUUCUAUACAGUUAUCAAUCACAUGUGAUUUACAUAAUAACUGUAUAGAUCAACUUGUAUCCCCCCCUAUAAAAGCAGUUAAAAUCAUUAAAAGGUUCAUUCAGGGGUAUGAACUCACCUAUUGUAAGUGGAUCGGGUGGAGGUGCCGGUUGGGUGCUCGGUGUCAAGUAAAGACUUGAACACACUUAGUGACCUACUAACAUAUAAAGGCAUAUGUUUACAUACCAUUAGUGUUUAUAAUACUAAUUUAAACACGUAAACGCAUCCUAAUGUGCGGAAAACACUUUGGUCAAGUGCUAGGAGGUUAUUGGGUUGCAAUAAGGGAGUGUAUGGCCUAGAUAGGGAGUUUACUCUUCAAGAGUAAACUCUUUAUGGAGUUUUAGGCCCUAAGACCAUAUCCCCAUGAUUUUACGGCCGUAAACUGAUGGGUGGUGUGUUCUUGGAUGCUUAAAGGUCUUAUAUCACUUGUGGAAUUAGGCUAGGUUCAAAUCUAGGGUAUAGGAAGUGACUAAGUCCUCAAAUAGACCAUUCAUGGGAGUUUACAACUGUAAAAAUAGAGUUUACGGCUGUAAACUCUUACUAGUCCCUUCCUUUUGUGUUUUGAUGGUUCAUACUUGUUUCUAGUCAAUUAUACAAGUCAUAAGGGGUGUUAGGGGCAUCAUAUGACCAUUUUAUGGAGUUUACGGCCCAUGGACCAAUCCUUGGGGGGUUUACGGCCGUAAACUCCUAGGUCCUUGGUUUCUUUGAUGUUUAAAGCCCCUACUUCGUUUGUGGUUGAUUCUAGACAUUUACCCAAGUCAUAGGAGGUGUUUGAGGGCAAUUCUAACACCUUAAAAGGUGUUCACAGCCCUUGAAGAGGGGUUUAUGGUCCAAGAGUGUUCUUGGGCCGUAAAAUCAUGUUUACUCUCCAAAAUGCAAGGUUUUGGUGCUCUAAGCUCGUAUGUGUAAGUCCACAAGUCAUAUCUAAGCCCUAGGAGUGAUUUGGAAGGGUUUUGGGACUUCAAAACCCCACUUAUGGGUGUUUACGGUCCAAGAGUGUUCUUGGUCCAUAAACACAUGAUUUGGCCCCUAUUGUAUGUCUUAAACACGAAUUUUCAUGUUAAAUGAGCUAAACAACAAGUUAGAGUAGAUCACUUACUAGUUUGGGGCUCGAAAUGGGCGGCUUUUGGAUCGAAAGCAACUUGUAGAGAGAGAGAGAGAGUAGAGAGAGAGAAUAGAGAGAGAGAGUGAAAAGGGUGUAAAUAAGGUUUACUCUCCCUUAUAUAGGGGUUUGAGUUUGUGGCUCGGUGGAAAUCUACCCGAUACUGACGUUAAACAGGGCUUUUGGUCGCACCCGAUUAAAUGGUCGUAAUUUGACUUGGUUGAAACUAAUACUUUUUCAAGGGAAUAUUGAGGGUGUUUCUAAUUUGUUCCAAUCCUUAUGAAGUCAUAAUAAAGUCCCUAUUUAAUUAACCUAAUCCAAAAGGUUAACGAACGAUGAGGUUAAAAAUCACGGGACAAAUUUCGGGUUGUCACACUUGUAUGCUCAGUUCUCCAAGUGUGAGUUCUGGUUGCGCGAGGUGCAGUUUCUUGGGCACCUUGUCAACCAGAACGAGAUUUCGGUAGAUCCGGCCAAAGUGGAGGCCGUGAUGAGAUGGGGGGUUUCGAGGUCUCCAUCUGAGAUUCGGAGUUUCCUAGGAUUAGCCGGCUACUAUCGGAGAUUCAUCCAGGAUUUCUCCAAGAUAGUCGUACCCCUGACCAGGCUAACGAGGAAGGUCGUGGUCUUUUGUUGGGGGCCUGAGCAGCAGGCUGCAUUCGAGACAUUGAGGCAGAGAUUGUGCGAGGCACCAAUCUUAGACCUGCCAGAGGGCAUGGAGGAUUUCGUCGUGUACCGUGACACGUCCAUCUCGGGUUUGGGCGCAGUAUUGAUGCAGAUAGGGCAUGUCAUUGCUUAUACUUCGAGGCAGUUGAAGCCUCACGAGGCGAACUACCCGACACAUGAUUUGGAGCUGGGGGGCUGUUGUGUUCUCCCUCAAGAUUUGGCGUCAUUACCUAUUUGGGGUUCGUUGUACGAUUUACACGUACCACAAGAGCCUGAGGUAUCUCAUGGAUCAGCCAAAUCUGAAUAUGAGGCAGCGUCGGUGGCUUGAUGUGGUAAAGGAUUAUGACUGUGAGAUUCUCUAUCACCCAGGAAAGGCCAAUGUGGUGGCCGACGCGCUUAGCCGUAAGGCAACGCCGAUCAGGGAUAUCUAUCUGAGGAUGACAGUGGUGACUCCGCUUUUGGAGCGGAUUCGGGAGGCCAUGAAGGAGGAACAUCGGAAGAGUGAGCGGAUUAUGGGAAAGGUUUCCUCCUUCGACUAUGCCAGCCGAGGAUUAUUGACACUACACCGUAGGGUGUGGGUGCCAUACCGCGGAGGUGUGCUCCAGGUUCUGAUGGAGGAGGGGCACAAAUCUCGAUUCUCCAUUCAUCCCAGGAUGACGAAGAUGUAUAGGGAUCUUCGCCUAGACUAUUGGUGGCCCUGCAUGAAGCGGGAUGUAGCAUGGUACGUGGAGCGGUAUGUUGUGGUGAGGUUGGCCAGAGGGUUAUGGGGAGCACCGAAGUGGUGCUCAAGAUAACAGAGAGGAUUCAGCAAGUUCAGAAUAGACUUCAGACUGCUCAGAGUCGGCAGAAAAGUUAUGCAGGCAAGCGCCGAUCGGACCUGGAGUUUCAGGUCGGGGAUAUGGUUCUCCUGAAGGUGUCGCCAUGGAAGGGCGUCAUCCGAUUCAGGAAACGGGGCAAGUUAGGCCCCAGGUACAUUGGACCGUUCAGGGUCUUGGCCCGGGUGGGCAAGGUGACAUAUAGGUUGGAUCUGCCAGCCGAACUCAGUCAGAUUCAUAGCACUUUUCACGUCUCCCAGUUGCGGAAAUUUUUGGUGGACAAUUCGGCAGUGGUACCAUUAGAGGAUAUUCAGGUUGAUGACAGCCUGAAUUACAUCGAGCGGCCUGUAGCGAUUCUCGACCGGAAGUCGAAGGAUCUGAGGAACAAGAGGGUCGAGCUGGUAAAGGUGCAAUGGCAGCACCGGAAGGGCUCGAAAUGGACUUAGGAGCCGGUAGAUGAGAUGAUGGAGCAUUACCCAGAGCUUUUCCAGGAACGAGCGGCAGACUUCGAGGACGAAGUCUAAAAUAAGUGGGGGAGAUUUGUAGCACCUGAUUCCUGGUAAGUAUUUUAUUUAAGUAAUUUUGCAUUUUUGGCCUGGCACUCGGCGAGUUGUAGGCCCAACUCGCCAAGUAGAAGCGGGAUGAGACGCGGGAUUUAUGUGAUGGACUCGUUGAGUCAGGUCCCGGACUCGACAAGUAGGCUCUGACUGGACAAAACCCUAAUCUGAGGGUUUGCAACCUAUUUAAACAACCUUAUACAGCCUCUAUCGCCCCUUUAUGCUCCUAGAAACCCUCCAUAGCAAACCCUAAGUGUUUUGGUGCAAGAUCUAAGGCUUUUGAGUGAUUUUUGUGGGUUUUGACCUCAAGGAAGAAGGAAGAGCAUAGAAGGAUCAAGAGGAUACUGAGGGAUUCGAGUUUGGUUCAUCAUUUGCAGUCUUUGAAAGGUAUAAAGUUUGUACCUUGCUUGCUUGUUUGUUACAUCCCUUUUUGGGAAGGAUUUAGGGCUUUUUAAGCCAUAUGAGGUAGCCAACCAGGGGAGGACGACAUAGUAGGGGGGCUGCCGGAUGCUUUGCCCCCCUCAAUCUCUAUAGAAACUUUAAAGUAUAUUAAUAUGUUAUUGAUAAAUUUGAAGUCCAUGGGUUUGUUUUUGUAAUGUUAAGCCCCUUCCAUUCUCUUUUAAAGUUUCAAUUAUUAUAUAGAAAAGUAAUGUGGCAAUAAAUAUGACUAAAUUAAAUCUCUAUGGACUAAAAUAUCACCGAAUUCACCCAUUUAUCUAAAUUGUUGAUUUCCCUUCAUUUAGUUUAAUUGGUGUCAUUAAUAACUCUUUUAGCUAAAAACUUUUACGUCCAAUUAACUAGUAUAAUAAGUAUUACUUUUAUUUUCAUUUAACCAACAUGGUAUAUAACUCCUAUUUAUAUGAUUUUUUUCUUUUAUAAAAUUUUCACUAUUGUCCAAUAUAUUUGGGGAGCUCAAUAUAAGCCCCCCUUAACCUUGAAUUCUGGCUUCGCCGCUGUAGCCAACCAUGUUUGCAAACAUGGUUGGGGGUCAAGACUUCGGAUCUAGCACUUGGGGAGAGUCACAAGGCAGAUUUGGGUUGCUUUUGCACCCAAGGAAGGCCCCAUGUAACAAAAGAGCCAUUUUAGAGCCUUUUUGGCUCAAAAGUCCCAUGCAUGCACGUAAAGUUCGUAACUUUACGUGCUAUAUCGAGCUUAGGGGCUUGGAUCUAUCAUUUGGACAAGUAUUGUACAUCAGAAAUCGAGGAUUUAGGGUGUGGACGAUAUCGACUCAGCGAGUCCGUUCUUGAGACUCGACGAGUCCAAGGCUUUGAGUCCCAUAUUUGUUGAGGGUCAAAGGACUCAGUUGGGUCUUAGAAGGGUAGUAGCAGGACAGAAAGAGUUACCCAACGCAUUGGACUUAGUUUUAGACCUAGAGUUCAUGGGACUCGACGAGUGCUAGAACAGACUCGGCGAGUCCAAGGCAAUCUUCUUAUGUUUAAAGAUGAACUCGACGAGUUGUUCAUACAACUCAGCGAGUCAAGGUUAGGACGUGUUCAUCAGAUGAAGGUGAACUCGAAGAGUGUUCAUACGACUCGUCGAUUCGGAUGAAGGUUCAUUGAUGUUCGUAAAGGAGGGAAACUCGUCGAGUCAUUGCCAAACUCGACGAGUCGAGUCGUGGAUAAGGACGAGUAAAGGAAAGGGACUCGACGAGUUGACGGCCCAACUCGGCUAGUCGGGUCAGUUGGAAGUUGACUUUGACUUGGAUUUGGUUGGGGAUAAAAUAGUCAUUUUACCCUAAGAGUAGAUAUCAGUUUCUGAUUGAGUGUUCUGUGGGGAUUGUAGCCGGAGGAUUUCCGGAGCAGCAGCAGAUAGAGGUUUCCGUUACAGAUUAUCAGCAGCUACUCGUACGAGGUGAGUUACCUUCCAGUAGGGGUGGGUAUAACGCUACAAUUUCGGCCCACCAAAGAGGAGUAUUUAGAAGAUGAUUGUCUUUGUGAUAAUUAUCUUGGUCUGGUUACGUGCUUUGGUCAUGAGUUUUAUCUGAAUGAUAUGUUAUGUGUUUAUAGGGAUUAGUUCCCUGACAGCGGUCCUUAGGACCGAAGGGUAGGUCAGUACCUGGAUAUGCCUGACUCUAUGUUUAUAUCUUGUAAUGGUAUGCUAGUGGGAGGGGGUGGAAUAGUCCCCAGUUACCGGUUGAAAGAUACCGAUGAUGAUUACCGGUUGAAAGAUACCGAUGAUGAUUACCGGUUGAAAGAUACCGAUGAUGAUUACCGGUUGAAAGAUACCGAUGAUGAUUACCGGUUGAAAGAUACCGAUGAUUAUUAUCGGUUGAAAGAUACCGACAACGGUUACUGGUUGAAAGAUACCAAUGGAAGUUACCGGUUGAAAGAUAACAAUGAUAUUGUAUGGUACGUGGUAUGAUGGGGAAACUCACCAAGCUUUGUGCUUACGGUUUCGGGUUUGGUUUCAGGUACCUCUUCAUCUAAGGGGAAAGAGCCAACGACAUAGCAUCGCAUCACACACACACACAUGAUUCCGCAUCAGACUUUCUGGGAUUGUACUCUGAUUUUCCUUAUUUUUGAUGUCAUGGUUUAGGACACAACAUUAUGAUUUUGUAAUGUAUUGUUUUAUUGACAGUGUUAUGGUAAAAUGUUUUAGAAAUUAUUAAUUUAAAAAUGAAAUUUUCAGGCUUGAAUUUUGGGACGUUACAUAUGAUUAGGUUUAUUAUGGCGUUUUGUUCGAAUAUAUUCUUUAUUUUUUUUUCUUUUUACAUUUUUUUUGAUGUUUUGUUUGAAUAUUUUCUUCUAAUUUGUUUGGCAUUUGUUUCAAAUGCAUUUAUUAACUUUUCUAGAUAUUCUGUUGAAAUAAUUUCUUCUAAUUUUUUUUGAUGUUUUGUUCGAUUACAUUUUUAACGUUUCUUUUACGUUUUGUUUUUUUAUAUUUGUUAAAGAUUUCAUGGUUGCUAUAGUCAUAAUUCAUAACUUAAUUCAGUUACAAUCAUGUUUUUUUUGUUCUUUUUAAAUUAUUAUUUUUAAUUCAAUCAUUUAACUAUAUAACACAUAUAAGGUUGUAUAAUUGUUAUUUUUGUAAAACUUUUUAUAAACAUUUGGUGUAAAAAAAUGUAAAAAUGUUAUUUAAACGCGAAUAUGAUUAAUAUAGAUAGGUUAAUCAGAAUCCAAAACGGAUGUCAAGUUAUACAUAGACUAAUCAGAAUUCGUAUAACUCGAAAACGAACAAAAUGUCUAAAAGAAACAAAUAACUCAAAAACACUAAAGUUAAGUCCAAUGUGAAAUGAAAUGGUCGCUCUCACAAGUUUGCGAGACAGUAUUAGGUUAGCAUAUGUGUAGUUAAUCUAUAUUAAUCAUAUUCACAUUAACAAAACUACAUAAACGGUCCCUAUGACAGGGACAUAUUAUAUAAAUGAUCCAUAUGGUAGAGAGAACACAUACCAUUUCGCAUGAGAUGUAACUUAGCCAAAAAAAAUUGUUUUUGUAAUAUUUUAGAACCAUGAGGACUGUCUAUGCAAAUAAAUUCGUUAUAAGUAUACAAUUGAUCGAUUUUGUCAACCACAAGGACCAGUUAUAUAAUUUUGUCUUAAAAAAUAAGUUAAAAGAAUUUAGGAUUUGAGUCUCAAAAGUCUCCACAACUACGGUGUGAAAAUUUUAAAUCAAUUUCCGAUCGAGCUUUCUGCUGGACACUUUUGCUAUCCUAACGAGUCUGCUGUGCACCCGAUUUCCAUAUAUGAUGCAAAUAGAAUAUAUAUAAUAUGAAGUUGAGAAUGAUAUGCAUCGGUAGUUACCGGAAAAUAACAUUUUUCUUCAUGAAUAAGGUCAUGUUGUAAUUUAAUUUUAUAAAAUGAGCCAAUUAACAUAAGGAGACAACAAAAUCUUAAUCAUUCGGGUAAGGCUGGAAAAGAUAAUAAACUUUCACAAGAAAGCAAAGAACACAGCACCAAUUGACACUUUUUCAUCAAACUUUUGAAAAGAUUCAAUCUUUCUCACAAAUGUAAAUUGGGUCUUCAAUCAUCCAACAAAAUGAUUGGAAAAAAAAAAUAGAAUGUAAAGAAAUUCAAAUAAAAUAUCAUAAUUUCUACUCAAUAUUUAAUGUGCAUCUUCAAGAACUGUUCACUGCCAUGCUUAAGUUGCUAACUUCAAUCUUUAAAACAAACACACACACACAUUAUAUUUUAGAAUUCCCACUUCCAAGAGUGAGUUCAAGAUCAUCCACUCCAACAUCAUGAAUCCUCUCGCCUUCCCAUGCCUUCACUCCUCCAUUCUCAAACUCGAAUUCCAUCCCUUUACCUUUCUCCGAGCU
rnacentral:lncRNA from 1 species